UACGGGGGGGGCAAGCGUUGUUCGGAAUUACUGGCGUAAAGCGCGCGUAGGCGGCUUUUCAAGCCGAUUGUGAAAUCCCCGGGCUUAACCUGGGAACUGCAGUCGGGACUGUCUAGCUAGAGUAUGGGAGAGGGAAGUGGAAUUUCAGGUGUAGCGGUGAAAUGCGUAGAUAUCUGAAGGAACAUCAGUGGCGAAAGCGACUUCCUGGACCAAUACUGACGCUCAUGUGCGAAAGCGUGGGGAGCAAACAGG
rnacentral:rRNA from 1 species